UGCGCAGGCGGUUUUGUAAGUCAGAUGUGAAAUCCCCGGGCUCAACCUGGGACGUGCGUUGGAAACUGGCGAUCUAGAGUACGGUAGAGGGUGGUGGAAUUCCCGGUGUAGCAGUGAAAUGCGUAGAGAUCGGGAGGAACACUCGUGGCGAAGGCGGCCACCUGGACCAGUACUGACGCUGAGGCACGAAAGCGUGGGGAGCAAACAGGAUUAGAUACCCUAGUA
rnacentral:rRNA from 1 species